CUUCCACUGAGUUCAGGUAAUCAGAUCACAAUUCGAUUUACUUCAGUUGGACCAAUAACAGCUAAGGGAUUUCACUUUGUUUAUCAAGCUGUUCCUAGAACAAGUUCCACACAAUGCAGUUCUGUACCUGAACCAAGGUUUGGAAGAAGGAUUGGCAAUGAAUUUGCAGUUGGUUCAUUGGUUCUUUUUGAAUGUAACCCAGGAUAUAUUCUCCAUGGAUCCAUUGCAAUUAGGUGUGAUACAGUGCCGAAUUCUUUGGCCCAAUGGAAUGAUUCUUUACCUACCUGUAUUGUACCCUGUGGUGGAAUUUUAACUAAGCGCAAAGGGACUAUUUUGUCUCCUGGAUACCCUGAGCCUUAUGACAACAAUCUGAAUUGUGUGUGGAAGAUAACAGUGCCAGAGGGAGC